rnacentral:rRNA from 1 species
CUGGCGGCCGCGGCGAUUCUUGGUCAUUUAGAGAAAGUCGUAACAAGGUUUCCGUAGGUGAACCUGCGGAAGGAUCAUUA